rnacentral:sRNA from 1 species
CUACCCGGGCGCCCCGGCCGCCGCCACCCCUCCCCGGCCCAGGAGAGGCUGCGGAGCCGCAGCCGCCCAGACCGCGCAGCGCGGGAGGCAGGUUCCGCACGAAACCGAGCGGGUGAGGACGUAAAGUGUGGCAUGGAAAGUAGGAGUCUUCAGCACACAGGUGUUUUCUUCUGCUGAAUCUUUUUAUGCUGGAGUUUGAGACUACCGAGUUCUUCUUGCUAACAACAGGACUGGCCAGUUCUACAAAGUUGUUGCUUUUCAUGGGCGCACGUUAACUGCCCGGAGUGGAAGCGCUGUGAGUGCCGAUCACCGAAUGGGCCGAGAGAAAAG